AUUCAUUUUCUUAGUACUCUGUUGUGGGAAUUGUUAGAUCAUCCAAAUGCUCAUUGUGACUCAACAGUCUAAGCACCUAAACCUGGAAACCAGCCAACAAGUAGAUAUACACAUUUCCAGUUCAUCCUUGAAUGUCAUAUUUGAAUGUUCUCUUACAGUUUGCAAUUCUUGUUGACCAGAUCAGCUGAGCUACUCCUACCUUGGAACACCUGGUCAUCAGUUGCUCAGGUUCUGGCUCAGGUUAUUUUUGCCUGCUUCUUGGAUGAAAAAUAGUCAAAUUUGGCAGAUUUCAGAGUAGUCCGUUGGAGAGGAUAUAUUGAUGAUGGAUGCACAAAUGUUUUUAAUGUAACUCCAUUUGCAAAAAGGAUAAACUCCUACUUCCCUGAUACUGAUCAGGAAUGCUACACCUUACUGUAGUCAGCACUUAUCCUAAGACUCUCUUUCCCUUCAUUCCUCAAAGAAAUACUCAGACAACAUGAAAGGACACUAUUAGGGCCUUGAAGAUGCCAUGAUUCCAGCAGAGCUGAAGACCAGCUUCCUGUAGAGCAAACAGCCUUGAAUCGAAGUGACUAAUUAAUGACAUCAGCUCCUUGACCUCAAAGUGCAGAAGCCAUGUGGAAGGGAAUCCCCAGAGGUGAAGGACUGGCUCUACACCACCCCAUGUAACAGUGAAUGGCCAAGGAACAGACACCGGAAUCACUGCCAUGGUCAUGAGGCAUUCAGGUGCAACAAAUAAAAUACCCUUCUCUCCCCAGUGUGUAUUCUGAAUCUCUUCGGAUGGUGAGAAGACUCAGGGAGUUGAACACACUUUCUGAUGCACUGCCUGCAAAAUACAGGGGAGGCAA